rnacentral:rRNA from 1 species
AUUGAACGCUGGCGGCAUGCUUUACACAUGCAAGUCGAACGGUAACAGGGUGCUUGCACCGCUGACGAGUGGCGAACGGGUGAGUAAUGCGUCGGAACGUGCCGAGUAGUGGGGGAUGACGCAUCGAAAGGUGUGCUAAUACCGCAUACGUACUGAGGUAGAAAGUGGGGGACCUUCGGGCCUCACGCUAUUCGAGCGGCCGACGUCUGGUUAGCUAGUUGGUGAGGUAAAGGCUCACCAAGGCGACGAUCAGUAGCGGGUCUGAGAGGAUGAUCCGCCACACUGGGACUGAGACACGGCCCAGACUCCUACGGGAGGCAGCAGUGGGGAAUUUUGGACAAUGGGCGCAAGCCUGAUCCAGCCAUGCCGCGUGUCUGAAGAAGGCCUUCGGGUUGUAAAGGACUUUUGUCCGGGAGCAAAUGCCUGGUGUUAAUAGCACUGGGAGCUGAGAGUACCGGAAGAAUAAGCACCGGCUAACUACGUGCCAGCAGCCGCCGUAACAC